UUUAAAAAUCACCCUUCAUGCAGCCUUACAAGCUGAAAAUAUUUUCUGUUUUCUUGAUUUUAGUCUGCAUCAUAUUGAACAAACAGAAGCCUGGAGUAACCCGAUUUGAAUUUUAAACUGUAUCACAGCCUCACUUGACACAGAUUUCUGAUUGGCUGAUCACGGUGGGAGGGAAAACUCUGUGGUUGACGUCACCAACGGGCCGGAAUCUGCAAGCGGGAGAAGUGCAGAGAACGAGAGACUUUUGACGACCGUUUGUCGUAUUUUUUCUUCGUUUUAACAAUCCGUGGGAUGAAUCUCCAACAUUUUUUUUGCUUGUCUGGAAAAGAUUCAAGUAAAAUCUUUGAAGUUUGCACGGUGAUCUAAAUACACGUGAAAAUGAGUGAAUCAGAACCCAUGUUCCUCCACACUGCCAUUAUGGAGGUCCUACCAGAGCCACAAAAGACAUCCUGGAAGAACACUUGCAGUCCAUUGGAAUAAAUGGAGUUGUAUGAGGAUCUACGAUUCAUAGAAGAGGCUGACUUGCUGCCAGCUUUGAGACCUGUUCAAGCCCGGAAACGUCUUGCUCUUUGGAAAUUGAAAUACCAAACGCCAGAGAACAGCACAUCAUCAUCUGUUGAGACCUCACCAACACAAUCAUCAUCACUUUUGUUAUAGUCACCGAGGAGUUCGUCAUCCACAUCUUCCAGAAGCCGAGGACUGUACAUACAUUGACUGGGAGGACAGCUUUGAAAUUCCAUGGAGAGGAUGCCAUGUUCUUGUAGAAGAUGCAGACGAGGUCCAGCUGCAGCAGGUGCCGUUGACUCCAACUGUUAUUGUAUGUGGACAGUCUUGCUUUUCCCCAAGGAGGUUCAUGCUCAUUUGGAACCGCUCCAUCGUACACAACAACAUUGCAGCACUGUGCCUGAUGUUCAGAAGCUACUUCUGCUUUAACCGUCAUUAUCCAACUGAGCUGGCUUCAACCCUGGAGUUUCUGCAAAGGGCUGCUCAUCCCUGGUCCUUGAGAUCUACCAGCCUGCCUGAUUUCCAGCUGAUUACCUGGACCAGCUUAUGUCCUGAGAUGUGCCACUCUACCUGGUUGGGAACAAAUUGAAGAGGCCAAGCUCAAGAAAGCCUUUGUCAACAAAUGUAGGGCAGAGCAGGUUCUAAGGCCACUGCUAUGAUCUACAGUAUGCGGACUGGUUUCUCUUCCAUCUUUUUUCUUAUUUUUUAUCUUAAUUUGGUUCUCAAGUUGGUCCAUGGAUUUGGUAGGCUGCAAGUUUAGGAGAAUGUUUUUAUCAGGUACUUUUUUAUGUGGUUACAUAAUUUUGUUUUUUUCCUUGUACCUCAGCAGUGAUGUCAGUGUGUUUGUUGUUUAAAAUAUGGAAGUUUUCUUUACCAUCAUGUCAGCCACAUUUAGUACGCCACAGUUCAUGUACUUAAUGCAUUUAAUAUUUUAAAAAGUGUUUAAUACUGCUACCACAAUUCAAAUGCUGUACUGAUGAUGGUGCUGCCCAAAUAAAGUGUAAAGCAUUUACA